rnacentral:rRNA from 1 species
UACCAGCACCCCGAGUGGUCGGGACGUUUAUUGGGCCUAAAGCAUCCGUAGCCGGUUCUACAAGUCUUCCGUUAAAUCCACCUGCUUAACAGAUGGGCUGCGGAAGAUACUAUAGAGCUAGGAGGCGGGAGAGGCAAGCGGUACUCGAUGGGUAGGGGUAAAAUCCGUUGAUCCAUUGAAGACCACCAGUGGCGAAGGCGGCUUGCCAGAACGCGCUCGACGGUGAGGGAUGAAAGCUGGGGGAGCAACCCGG